GACCACGUAGCUCAGUUGGCAGAGCAUUGGACUAGUAUCCCAAAGGUCGAGGGUUCGAUUCCCACCGUGGCCA